ensembl:lncRNA
CACAGCUCCGUCCCCCAUCCCCCGGACUGACGAUGGCCACAGCACGUCUUCAUAUUGAUAUGGCCAUUAAAUAUUAAGCAGAUGCAAUCAGUGGAGGUAGCAGCCUGCCAGCAGAGAGAGAUUCUGGCUGCUGCUGUGCGAAGGGGCUGGGCAGAGCGGCAGCUGAUGGAAGGUAUUAAGGAAGAGCAAAGUCCUUCAGGAAGAGCGCAGUGAGGACGCAGCUGGAAAAAACAAGCAGAACACAAAGAAAGAAGAAUUGACAUCUAAGGAAGCUGGUGUAUCAUAAGGUCUUUUCCUUCCACUGGGACAUUCACACAGUUAAAUACUGGGUUAUUAGUGCAGCAAGUCCAGCUUGAGUUGCAUGUUUGUUUUACUCGCUGUGAUAACUGUGUUUGGUAACAGCGGCCAGGAGAGCAAAAGGAAAUGUAUGUAACAACCUCUGUAAUGAGCACUGUGCCCCAAGCUGGAUAUUCUUUACUAAUGGAUUUAGAGAUCUGUUAGCAUGCACAAAUCAGGGAAGAGCUGGUUGUCCUGUGACUCAGACUUCACCUUUGCAGACAGGGAUUUCCAGGUUUGCACAGAGUCUAAAUGGUACUCGGCAGUUUCCAUCAGAUUCCUUUGACAAGGAAGGUACCUCGGUGCUGGAGCUGGAGCAGAGUGUGGGGAGUUAAAGCAAGGUUUGUGAGCAGCAAGACUUCGGCUGCCAAAUUAAGAGUGAGAAGAGAAUUUCUGAGCAGCUUAUGAAAAUUGACCUCUGGUCCUGCUAUGUUCUGCAGGACCACUGUACCAGCUAUUUCCAGUUGAAAGCAAGUAUCAUUUAUGCCCACUGUAGCAUUGAUUGCGUUCACUUCAGGAGAAGUUCAGUUUCCUGGAUUGCAUCGUAACCAGUGAUGGGAUGUGAUGUCACUACUACAAGCUAGAGUCAAAAUGGCAGAAUGGUGAGAUGUGAGUUCCCCAUCAAAGAAAAAGUUGAAGACACAGCCCUCGGCAGGUGAAGUGAUGUGCACUGUCUUUUGGGAUAGGAAAGGGGGGACCCUUUGGGAUUCCCUGGAGCCCAGAUAAACCAUCAGCUCUGACCACUACAUCAUGACAGGGCCUAAGCUGAAGGCCCAAACUUCCAGAGUCAGGCCAGAGAAGACAACCUUUCUCUUGCAACACAACACCAGGCCGCAUGCCAGUUUGAAGACCGUGAAGCACAAUGCCAAUCUCAGCUGGACCGUCCUAUCACAUCCACCAUAUAGUCCAGAUUUGGCACCUUCUGAUGGAUUAACUCUGUGCAGUAAGUUUGGCCUCGGGUCCUUCACAUCUGCCAAGGAAUUUGGAGUUUAUCCUAUCCACAGCCUUAGUAAUAAAGUCCACUGUGUUCAGUGUGCUUUCUUUGAAAAUUAUAACUGUGUAAGAGAAGCAGCCUUGAGAAAUGUGUUUUCCCUUUGCCAGAACACUUGAUUUCUUUCUUGAAAAGGAGGUGAGUGGACCUGGGGUAAGUUAAGAGAGAAAAAGAUUUGAACAACACUGAUUAGCAAAGUGCUCACUUGACCAACUGUUGUAACUUCUAACUAAUAUCUAUAAGCAUACCAAACUUCACAUAGUCCGCAUCAGAAGAAGAGGUCUUUUCUUAAGUGUUUAGGAUGGAAUUCAUACAGCUAAAGCUUAAACACUGGAAGAUUUGCUCUACAUCAACACCUGCUGUUCUGCCCUUGCUGCAAGAAGGAAGCUGGAGCAAAUACACUUUUCAACUGUGACAUAUAAUCCAUGUGUGGAUUAAACUGUGCAUGCAACUACAGCUGAGAAUUCCAGAGAAUCCUCCUUCCUCCACUCUGACAGUGCAAAGGAUGACUCUUCAACAUUUCCCUUCUUGUUCUAAGAAAAUUGGACUGAUUGUCAAAAGUGAUUUUGGACAUCCUUCCAAUGUUCCCCACUGGGAAGCAGAGAUGAGUUACACAUGGAAAGGAGUUCCACGUACUGUGAAUUCAUCUGCUUAUCAUCUUCAGCAUUCCCAUCAAACUUUAUCACCGUUCUCUAGCCAGGAUGGAUCUAUAUGAAACCAACAAUUAUGUGUUUGGAUUGUCCUGUUGGAUUGCUACGGUGAAAUCCAGAGAGGAGGACUUGAAGAGCUGCAGUCCCUUACAUCAACAUCAAAAUGGAACCCAAGGACAACCACGCUGAACAUUCAGGUUCCUUAUAUCCUCUAUAUCCUGUAGUAGAGAAUGAAAAUGUUGUCCAGUGUAUGACACAGUUACUUUUUACUGAAAAAAAUUAAUCAAGGGAUUUAAAAACACA